UACGUAGGGGGCAAGCGUUGUCCGGAAUCAUUGGGCGUAAAGCGCGUGUAGGCGGUCCGGUAAGUCCGCUGUGAAAGCCGGGGGCUCAACCCUCGGAUGCCGGUGGAUACUGUCGGGCUUGAGUACGGAAGAGGCGAGUGGAAUUCCUGGUGUAGCGGUGAAAUGCGCAGAUAUCAGGAGGAACACCAAUUGCGAAGGCAGCUCGCUGGGACGUUACUGACGCUGAGGCGCGAAAGCGUGGGGAUCAAACAGG
rnacentral:rRNA from 1 species